rnacentral:lncRNA from 1 species
GAAUCAAGCUUAGACAUGUUUACUAGCAACAGACUCAAUCCUUCUCUGAAAGAACACUUUUGAAGAGAAAGAUACAUGGGAAGAAGAAAGGAGGGAGGGAGAAGGAAAGAAGGAAUGAAAGAAGGAAAGCAGAAAGAAAUAUAAAGGGAAAAAAAACUCCAGAAGAGAGAGAACAUCUAAACGAACAAAGAUCUCCUGAUCCAAUUGUGUACUUCAGAUCCACUCAUCACCCAUUUCCAGUCUGCUCUGGACCUGGGAGGCUAAGGUGGUAGGACUACAACCACAGACCUCAUCUUGGAACUUUGCUUCUCUUUGGGUCUUGCCAGGAAAUGAUCAAAGGCAAAUUAAAAUAGUGUUGGGAUGUUUAUUACGUUGACUCCUUCCUUUCCAAGUCACUGGAGAAGGACUGAGGAAUUAAGCAGGAACAAUGAAGCCAUUAAAGUACAAAAAGAAUAUAAGAAGACAGUUUUUAUACUAUUGGAGUGCAGAAGACCUUUCAAAGAAUGACAUAGUAGCAAAGACUGACAUACACGACAAGAUAAAAGUUAAAACUUCUGAAUGGAAGUGACAGAGUUUAAAGGUGAGGAAAAGGAAGUAGAGUGUGGGUACACAGAGGUAUAAGUAUUUGUUAGUUGAAUUGUUAGCUUCUGAGUAGACUAACAUAACAUAGUACACAAAGGAAAGCUAUGAGACAAGGUGAGUGUAUUUCAAAUGUUCUAUCUCUAUCGUUAGUAUUUGAGUUCAAAAUGGCAUUACUAUAGUAACUCUAUGACUGUGUUUCUGUGCCUGCGUAUUUUUAAAAAAUUCUUUUUUAUCAAAGUAGUAAGUUAAUUAAUUACUACUUUUCUGAGAGAUAUUUUAAUUCUUUUUUUAAAAAGGUUUUUACUGCAUCUGUUAAAUUGAUUAGAAGACUUUUAUCUUUUAUUCUAUUAUUAUGAUAAAUUAGAUUGAUUUUCAAAUUGGCCUAAUAUUUUCAUUUCUGGGAUAGAUCCCACUUGGUCAUUAUCUUUUUCAAAUAUACAUAUAUACUUGUGUAUUUGAUUUGCUAAUACUUUAUUAUGGAUACUUGUGUCUAUGUUUAUAAAGGAUAUUGGUGAUCUACAGAUUUAUUUAAUUGUAAGUUCUUUGCUUUUGGUAAUGUUGUUCUUAUAAAACUCAUUGGAAAAUAUUCCUCUGCCUUUUUAUUCUCUGGAAGAGUUUGUGUAAAACACUUUUUUGUUUGUAUAGUAUUAUUUCUUCCUUAAGUAUUUUAUACAAUUUGCCAGUGAAAUCAUCUGAGUUUAGAGGGUUUUUUUUGUUUGUUUGUUUCUGUUUGUUUUGUGGGAAGGUUUUUAGCUUUGAACUAAAUUUCACUAGUAGACACAGAGGUAUUUAUAAAUACAGGGUAUUUAUUACUACUUUAGUGAUUCCUGUUAGCUCGAGCCUGUGUCUUUGAAGGAAUUGUCCAUGUCAUAUGAAUUGCUACUUUGUUGGUAUAAAGUUGUUCAUAAUAUUCUUUUAUGACCCUUUAGGAUCUUUAGUGGUCUAUAGGACCUUUAGUGACAAUCUUUCUUUCAUUCCUGAUGUUGGUUGGUGAUUUGUGUUCUCUGAUUUUCAUUGAUUGGUCCAGCUAGUUGUUUAUCUAAUAUAUUGACUGUUUUCAAAGAACCAGCUUUUAACCAGUUAAUUUUGUUUAUUGUUUGUCUUCUAACUGACUUAUUUCUACUCUUAUUUUUAUUAUUUCUUUCCUUCUACUUGCCUUGGACUGACUUACAACUUACUUUGCUCUUCUUUUUCUAGAUUCUUGAGGUAAAAUAUUAGGUGGCUGUUUUUAGACAUUUUUUCUUAAAAAAAAAAACAAAUUUAAAGCUAAAAUAUUCCUUUUAAGCACUAUUUUAUCUGUAUCCUACAAACUCUGAUGUACAGUUAACCGUUGAACAACACAGGUUUGAACUGUGCAGUUCUACUUACAAACUUUUUUCAAUUGUAAAUACUACUGUACUACAUGAGCAGAGGUUGGUUGAAUCUGCAGAUUGGGAACCAUGGAUAGGGAGGAACUGAGUAUAGGAAGGACUGGCUCUAAAUUCUAUGUAGAAUUUCAACUACAUGGAGGGUUGGUACCCCUAACCCCCUGAGUUGUUUGAGGGUCACCUGUAUUGUGUAAUAAAAUUAUCAUAGAUUUUGAAAUAUUUUCUACUUUCGUGUCUGAUAUAUGACCAAUAGAUUAUUUAGAAUUGUAUGGUUUAAUUUCCAAAUAUUUCAUGGUUUCCUAAAUAUCUUAUUGUUAUUUAUUCCUAAUAUAAUUCCAUGUGAUCUGACAACAUACUUUGUAAGAUUUCAGUCAUUUAAAAUUAAUUGAAACUUGUAUAGAAGAGCAUGUGAUCUAUCUUGGUGAGCAUAUUUGUGUACUUGAAAAGAAAUGUGUAUCUAUAGUUUUGCAUAUGAUAUUUUAUAAAUAUGUUAGGUCAAGUCUUUAUUAAGAAUGGUGUUCCAAUGCUUUACAUCUUUUUAAAUAUAUUUUUUGACUAAUUGUUCUAUCAAUUGCUGAGAGACGGGCAUCAAAAUCUCCUGUGAUUUAGUAGUUCUUUAUUUCUCCCUUUAAUUUUGUCAAACUUGAUUAAUGGAUUUUGAGGCUAUUUUAUAGGAAAUAUAAACAUUUGUGAUUCUGGAAUGUGCCUCUUUAUCUUUGGUAAUACUUUUUAUCUUAAGUAUAUUUUAUCUUAUAUUAUUAUAGUUCAUUCCUGCCUUCUUAUGCUUACUAUUUGCACUUUGAACCUAUCUGUUUAACUAUAUUUAAAAUGUGUUUCUUGUAGACAACAGAUAGGUAGGUUGUGUAUUUAUUCCUUUCUCAUAAUCUCUGACUUUCAACUGGAGUGUUUAGCUCAUUAUCAUUUAACAGAAUUAUUGUUUGUUCAAUUUAAGCCUAGAAAUUUAUUAUUUUUUUUCUGUUUGGUUUCUUUGAUUUUUCUUCUUCUGUUUCCUCCUUCAUCUUCUUCUGAAUUAUUCCUUUUUAAUUUUUUGGGCAGCUUAGCUAUUCCUCUUGACAUUUUUUAUUGAUUAUUAUAAAAAUAACGAUACCCAUCUUUAUUUUUUUUCACAGCCUACUUAGGAUAAUGGUUUAUCACUUAAAUGUAGAAUCAUUUCAACCUAGGCCCAUUUAACACUCCCUUGCCUCUCUUUAUCUUGCUGUUUGCAUACGUAGUAUACCUUCAUACAUGAUCAACUCCAAACGGUAGGUUAAAACUUUUUUAUUCAAAUAUAUGUGUUUAAAUAAACUAGGAGCAAAUAUAGCUUUACUUACCCACAUGUUUACCAUUUCUAAUGUUCUUCAUUCACUCUUUAAUGUGUCCUCUGCUAUAAUUUUCCUUCAACCGAAAGAAUUUAUUUUAGCCUGUAUUUCUGUAUGGGUCUGGUGGUGGCAAAUUCCCUUAGUUUUUCGUUUAUAUGAAAAAUGCCUCCAAGCCUUUAUUCUUGGGGGAUAUUUUCACUGAACAUAGAAUUAUUUGAUGACCUUUGUUUUUCUUUUUUUGUUUGUUUUGUUUUCCUUUCAGUCCUUUAAAAGGCUUUCUAUUGUCUUCUAUUCUUCAUGUUUUUGUUUAGAAGUCUGGAACAGUUUCGAUUGUAUUUUCCCUAUAUUUAAUAUGUAAUUUUUUCUCUGGGCAUUUUUAUGUUUCACAAAAUUUUUCUCUUCAUCUUAGUUUUCAGCAUUUGACUUUAUGUACCUAGGUGUGAAUUUUUUCAAAUUUAUCUUAUUUGGGUUUUAAUAAGUUUCUUAAGUCUGAAUUUAGGUGUUUCAUCACCUGUGGAUAGUUUCCUGCCUCUGUUUCUUCAAAUGUCUUGUCAUCUCUAGUCUCUCUCUCUUCUCCUUUCAAGAGAGGAGAACUUUUUAUAUUAACCUUCAGGUCUUUGAAGCUUUGUACAUCUUCCAGUCUUUUAUCUCUUCUUCCAAGUGGCUGAUUUAUAUAUAUCUGCCUUCAAUUUUACUUUUUCUUCUAUUGUAUACCUUUCGCUAAUAAGUAAAACUAGUCGAUUUCUUAUUUUAAAUGCUGUAUUUUUCAGUUCCAAAAUUUACUUUAGAUAUUGCAUUGGGUUGUUUUUGAUAUUUUCUGCUUCUCUUCUAAUAUUCCUAUCUAUUUUUUAAUGAGCAUAUUUUACUUUACCUGACCUCUAAACAUAUUUAUACCAUCCUCUGAUAAUUCCAUAUCUAGGUCAUCUCAAGACUGGUGCCACUUUAUUGCCUAUUCUUAAAACUGAGCAAUAUGAUCUUGCUUCCCAUAUGUUAAGGAUGCCAAUUUUAUCCUGAACAUUUUAUAUAUUAUGUUAUGUCGACCAUGAAUUCUCAGUGUUGCGCCUCAAAGUAUGUGUGUUUUUGUUUUAUUGGGCAAUUAAAUUGCUUAGACUCAAACUUUAAAAUGACAUACAGUGACCUACAGCAGUUCAGAUUUCAGUUCAGUGCUUUCAGCCUUAGCUGAAAGCUGCUUUCAGUUUUCCCCGUGCAGAGUUGGCAUCAGCUAUAAAUCUGGACUGAGUCUAUACGUGGACAUUUUCCUCUUUUUGGGGUCUCUCCUUUUAGGGUUUUCCUCUCAAUCACCAGCGAGCUGUUAUUGCCCUGACUUCCUUUCCUUGAUUUCUCAAGCAAGAUAGAUUUAGACUCUUUUUCCAGAACUGUGCCCCUCCUACACUGCCAUCACAGCCAUAUCUAUGACCACCCUCAGGGAAACAAAAAUAAAACUGGGGAAUUCACUUCAAUAUUUUUGUUACUCCAAAUUUUGACUUACUUUCAAUAUUUGACUACCUUUAUUUAAAAAAAUUCCAGAGCCCUUAGGUACUUGUUUAAUAUAUUUUGUUCAGAGUAUAUAACUCUUAUUUUCAUAAGGAUCGAUCCAGAAUUUAUAGCUGAUAUUUGUGGGAAGACCCAGUAUUCACUUUUAUAUAUUGGUAACAGACUCUCUCUUCUACCUGUUUUUUUUUUUUUAAACAUCUUUAUUGGAGUACAAUUGCUUCACAAUGGUGUGUUAGUUUCUGCUUUAUAACAAAGUGAAUCAGCUAUACAUAUAUAUAUAUAACCAUAUCUCCUCCCUCUUGCGUCUCCCUCCCACCCUCCCUAUCCCACCCCUCUAGGUGGUCACAAAGCACUGAGCUGAUCUCCCUGUGCUAUGCGGCUGCUCCCCACUAGCUAUCUAUUUUACAUUUGGUAGUGUAUAUACCUGUUUUAACUAAGAUUUGUAAUGAGAGAAAGUAGAGAUAGUGAAAAACCAUGUGACAUUUACCUACUCAGGCUAGAUCCUAUGAUUCCACAUUGCUGAGAUAUGAUCAUAAAUCAAUGCAAGUAUAGGUGAUCAGUCUACCAAGAAAAGGAUCAGUUGAUUCAUGUGUUAAAGUGUAAUUUCAUUCUUUGUACUGUUUCUUAAUUUUCACUAUUUUAUUUUCUCUAAGCAUUGCUCAUCUCUAUGGCAUAACCAGACCAUUUAACUAGUCCUCUGAUUUUAAAAUCAUUGCUAAAUUCAUGUUUAUUUUGGCAGCUCCAGAAUUGUAUUACAAUGUAAAAAUAGGUUUGGAUAUUUUUCUGUUAUUUCUUAAGACCAACUGCAUAGGGUAAGAUCCAUUUUAAAAUUUUCAAACAUGGCCCCAGACAUUGUAAAGCUGGCAGUAUUUUUUGUAUUAACGCAGUUUAGG